CCUACGGGCGGCAGCAGUGGGGAAUAUUGGACAAUGGGCGAAAGCCUGAUCCAGCCAUGCCGCGUGUGUGAAGAAGGCCUUCGGGUUGUAAAGCACUUUCAGUGGGGAAGAAAGCCUUGGGGCUAAUACCCUCGAGGAAGGACAUCACCCUCAGAAGAAGCACCGGCUAACUCCGUGCCAGCAGCCGCGGUAAUACGGAGGGUGCGAGCGUUAAUCGGAAUUACUGGGCGUAAAGCGCGCGUAGGCGGUCUGAUAAGCCGGUUGUGAAAGCCCCGGGCUCAACCUGGGAACGGCAUCCGGAACUGUCAGGCUAGAGUGCAGGAGAGGAAGGUAGAAUUCCCGGUGUAGCGGUGAAAUGCGUAGAGAUCGGGAGGAAUACCAGUGGCGAAGGCGGCCUUCUGGACUGACACUGACGCUGAGGUGCGAAAGCGUGGGUAGCAAACAGGAUUAGAUACCCCUGGUAGUC
rnacentral:rRNA from 1 species